rnacentral:misc_RNA from 1 species
AAGUUGAUUUUUUCUUAUCUUUCAGGUUGACGAGGUGUUGCGACUGACUUUGAAAGAAAAUGACUGCGGCAUGUCCACCAUUUUAGAGCCCUCUUCCAUGACCAAAGGAGAAAUUAAUUUUCACAAAGCUGCCAAAGAAAAUGACCUGGAAUCUGUCCGAAAACUUUUGUCCGAAUAUCAUGUCAACGUCAAUUGCAAAAACAACUUAGACCGCACAGCUUUGCACUGGGCUUCCGCUAAUGGUAACAUAGAUGUCAUCGAAAAACUGGUGGAAGAUGGUGCAGACUUAGAGUCUAAAGACAAGUAUGGCAUGCGACCAGUUCUCUGGGCAGCGUGGUUUGGACACUUGGAGGCCAUCAAGGUGCUAAUCACUGGGGGUGCGACACCACUAUGCACAAAUAAGCAAGGCAUGGGAAUCCUACACUGUGCAGCUCAAAAUAAUCAUGUCGGGGUCAUGAACUUUAUAUUCGAAUCCUUGGAAAAUAUGAACAUCAACGAAGGAGAAAUUACAGGUAGAACUCCUCUACAUUUGGCAUCCGAAGCCGGCCAUAUCGAGGCUGUGAUGCGUUUAAUAGACAUGUCUUGUGAUGCAAAUGCAAGAGACAAGGAUGGUAAAACAGCAUUGCAUUUGGCUGCAGAAGCUGGCAAAAGUGAAGUCAUAAGAAAAUUAUUAAACCUUGGCGUCGAGGUCAGCGACAGGGACGCGGUAAAUAUUCCAAAGCAAGAUGGUUUCAAACCUUGGUACAUUUAAAGGGUCCGAUGGUCGUGGCCAUUUUUACACUAUAAAAUUAAACUCCUUAAAAACAAGAGUUCUAUAUAAGUAUACACGUAUUAUUACAGCAAAACAUCUAGAUUUCAAAGCUAAAAUAUUUGAUUUUUUUCUUAACAGAAUGAUAGUUUUUAAGCUAAAGAUAUCAUGUCUAAAAAUUUGAGGAAGCUUGAUGGUUAAUUUGUUGAUUUGCUUAUUUUAAGCUUUACUCUUUGUAUGUCAAAUUUAUAUACUAGAUAGGAGGUAUUUUAUUAGUCCAACAAUGUGUUCAUGUCAAACCUGAAAAGGACUACAUUUCUUGUAUUGAUUUCUUUUGUACAGUAAAAUCACAAGUUAUAACAUUGUAUAAUUUUUUAUGAUAUUGCUCACAUGUCUGUUUUAUAGUGUUGAAGUUUAUACCCCCUCGGGAGCAAAAUUAUUGUGCUUGGGUCAACUUUUAAACAAAUUAGAAUAAAAAAAUUCAUCAGGAUGGUUUCAUAAUAAAAGCAAGUUAAAGCAUUGUAGCUCUGAUGAGAACAAAUUUUAAAGAUUUUUCUAUUGAUACUUCUGUGUUGAGCAAUGCUGAACCUUGCAAUAUGCAUUAGAGCACUGUAUGAACAAUGUCAAAUAUACAUGUCAACUACAUAACGAUGCUUUGUUGUAAAUAUUAGCUUUUGCAGAAAGACUUUAAAAAGUUUUCUUAAACCCAUUUUUAAGAUAAGCAAAUAAGGAAUUUGAGUAUUGCACUAUUGAUUUCAUGUCUAGGAUGGCAAAACAGCUAUGCACAUUGCGGCGGAAGAGGGGCAUCUAAAUGUAAUAGAGGUCCUGUUUGACUUCGACGCUAAAGCUGACACAGAGACCAUUAAAGAGAUGAGCCCCCUUCAUUUUGCCACAAGCCGGGGGCACUCGGAUAUCGUCACAACGUUGAUUGAGCACGGGGCACAGUUAGAUGUAGUUAAUUUUCAGGGAAAUACACCCCUUCAUCUCGCCGCGCUCGGUAAUCAAUCUGAAGUCACCAAAAUCCUUAUCAAGAAAAAGUGCCAAGUCGACAUUCAAAACUACAGACAACAAACAGCUCUUCACAUCGGUGUAGAAGCUGGAUACCAGGACAUUGUAGAAAUCUUAUUAGGUGCUAACGCUAGCCUUGAUCUGCGGGAAAAGUUGGGUAAAACUCCGUUACAACUAGCAGCCCGAGGCAGCUUCGUUGCAAUCGUCGACAUGAUCAUCAAAGCAGAGAGAUACUAUGAAGUCACAAGGGACUAUCAUGAAAAAGAAUUAGAUGACCUUGACCCACAUCUUUAUCUUCGUCAACCUCGCCACCCAUCAGCUGCUCAAAUGAAAGACAUAUUAUGGAAGCUUGCCACAAAACAGUUAAAACCUGGAGAUUGGAAAAAACUUGCUCUUUAUUGGAAAUUUACAGCAGAACAUAUAAGGGCCAUAGAGCAUCAGUACACAGGUACCCAUAGUUACAAGGAACACGGCUUUCGAUUACUAAUGAUUUGGCUACAUGGUGUCAGGAAAGAUGAAAACGUCAUGAGACUUUUGUUCGAGGCUCUAUCGGCCAUCGAGAGGAGAAAUUUGGCUGAGCAAAUCAGGCGGCGGGCGGAUUUUCGGCGGGAGAAAUUCUGUAUGAAUUCUUUGUGCUCUAUAACUUGAUCCCAAUUUGUGUUCAAAGUGAAGGUGGACAACUUUAAGAAUAAUUUGACAUUUCAACUUGGUGCUAAACAAAGUGGUUGAUUUAUGUUGAAUACAUUUUCAUGGAUAUUAUCAAUAAGCUUUUUUUUUAUAUCUUUGUGGGAUUUACAAAGGUAAUUUCCCUCUUUUGCAACAUUGUUUUUAUACAAAUAAAUGUUCAAUAAA